UUGUUAUAUGAGCUUUAUAAUUUUUUAAGUAUAUGCAUGUAAACUGGUUUCUUCCCUCUACCAGCGAACCCUUCUCUGUGCGAACCCUCCUCUCCCUGCGAAACCAAUAAAUCGUAUAUCAUCUUCGAUGCAAUCCUUUUAUGUGUGAUCAGGUCUCAGACACAACUUCGCCAUCACAUCUCAACAUCUCUGCCAUUUAUUCGGUAUGACUAUUUCUUUAGACUUAUGAAAGGCUGGAUGAAGAAGUAGUUAUUGCGAAUGUUGACGAGCACAAAUAUUUGGCUCAUAAGUGAGUGCGGUGACAUACUUUUAUACGCCUUAUAAUUAAACUAUGUUAAAAUCAUAUUUAAUAAAAACAUGUGCCUAAUUUGGAUGAUUUCCAUUAACACAUAUGGUAUUGCUGCCUAUCGCUCACUGAAGUUUUUCCCAAAGAACAAUAAAUCUGGCGAAGAUUAUGUUGGUGGUCUUAAUUUGGAUGAUUUUGUAGCUUUCAUUAAUGAGAAAUGCGGCACCAACCGUGACGAACAAGGCUGGUAUAGUAACAUCUCUAGAUACUUUGAUGAAGGAGUUUGUGAGUGCUGAUGAUGAUGAGAAGAAGAAGGUUGUCUUUUCUCGACUUGAAUAGGAAGUUAAGAAACUUAAGGGUUCUGCUGCAAGGUUUAAGUGAUAUCAUGUUUCCUUUUUUGUUUUGAUUUGCUUAUCUAAAACAAUUUAAUUGUAGUUAAUGCAAAUCAUGUUAAUCUAUAAAGUUAAUGGAUAUCAUGUUAAGGCAGAUCUUGUUAAUGCAGAUGAUGUUAAUGACAUUCCUUCAACUAUCAUUUAAAGAUUGUUUAUCGUUCAUUUUUUCUUUAAAGAGUUAACAUCAAACAACUAUAUGUGGGAUUACCAAUUGCAACUAGGUAACAUGCAUCCAGGUUUAUCUCCAGGCCUACUUGCUAUACAAAUUAGAUAUUGAAAAAUUAGUACCUUAAUAUAGAAACUAAAAUCACUUGUAGUUAUUCUCCAUGAUAAAUUAGUAGCAAUUGCCAUUUAACAUAAGGCAUGUGUAGAAUCACAUAAACAACUAUACUACAAAUUAUAGCAAAGAAUCUUAACUUCAAAACAAACACACAUUCAUAAAAUAUUCAACAUCAGAGCAAAUCAGCUGCAACUUUUACUAAAACUUAAAAAUAAGGUAUUAUAGAGUUUAUGCAAGCAAACUUUUCUCCAUAAAGUAUGUGACUAAUUAUCUUGUAUUUCAAAAUACUAGUUGUAGAUUUGGUUUCAUGAACUAAAAAAUGUAGUGAAACCCUUGGUAGAGGAGGGUUGUUACUCGUGCACUCUAACCAAUGUGAUUUUUUUUACAUUAGCUUGAGUUGGAUGUUAUCAUGGUUAACAUUAGUAAUCUUAUAUUACCUUUAGCACGCACAGGAAACUUGUGCCCUCAGGCUGAGUAGGCACCAAUUUAAGCACAGUCUGUCUCCUUAAAAUAUGCUUGGAAAUUAUGACGCAAUAUCAUGUUUGUCUUUUCUCCACUUGAAGAGGAAGUUAAGAAACUUAAGGGUUCUUCUGCAAGGUUUAAGCGAUAUUAUGUUUCCUUUUUUGUUCUAAUUUGUUUAUCUAAGACAAUUUCAUUGAAAUUAAUCCAGAUCAUGUUAAUAUAUAAAGUUAAUACAGAUAAUGUUAAUGACAUUCCUUCAACUAUCAGUUAAAGAUUGUUUGCCUUUCAGUUUUUCUUUUUAACCAAAUGUGUCUUGUGAUGAUGUGUUAGGCAUUUGAUGUAUUUACUUCCCAAUUUUUUUAAUUAAAUAAAUUUAUUUUAAAAGGAUUACAACUGCUUCAGAUAUUUAUUGAAAGUUGUUAAAGUUAUGCAUUCAGUGGCUCUAAGGAACGAGUCCAAUGUUAUUAGAAGUGAUGCUUAUCUUAAAAUGAUGUCAUGCCUAUAUACAUGAAAUUUUCAAAUGAUAUAGAGGAGACUUUUUCUAGAGCCCUCAAGCUACUAUUGGUCAUUUACACGAGGGGCAGUAUGUUACACUAGUCCAAAGCGGAGCACAACCAAUCUGGCAUAAGGAAUCCAUUCACCACAUUCAAAUCCGCAAGGUUCAUGGACAUAGACUACUACUCCAGAUGGUGACAUUCUUCUUGUUCCCCCAACUGCCCAACACUUAUCCAUCUUGCAACAGUGUUGCUGUGUGAUCUUUGGACACCACAUCAUGUAUCUUGACACUUCCGAUGCCAGUAUUGACAUCUCUUCAAGCUAUAUAUAAAAGAACAUUUCUUUUCAUGAGAGAACCUUUAUUUAUAUUCUCUAUGAUCCCACUUAGAGGACAUAAACAACCUGAUCAUAAUACGAAAGUUAUUUAUAUAUAGAUGCAAAAAUAUUUAUAUAUAUAUAUAUAUAGAAGGUGUUUGCACCUUUUUACUAUGAUGAUAGGUCUUGGUUGUGCUAUUUCUUUCUUUCUUUUUCUUUUUUUUUGUUUAAAGUUGGACCGUAUGUAACAAAAUUGUUUUAGCAUACUUACAUCAAUUUAUGUCAUUUAUUAUAUAAUAUAA